rnacentral:rRNA from 1 species
GGGGAAUAUUGCACAAUGGGCGCAAGCCUGACGCAGCCAUGCCGCGUGUAUGAAGAAGGCCUUUGGGUUGUAAAGUACUUUCAGCGAGGAGGAAGGGGAUGUGGUUAAUAACCACAUUCAUUGACGUUACUCGCAGAAGAAGCACCGGCUAACUCCGUGCCAGCAGCCGCGGUAAUACGGAGGGUGCAAGCGUUAAUCGGAAUUACUGGGCGUAAAGCGCACGCAGGCGGUCUGUCAAGUCGGAUGUGAAAUCCCCGGGCUCAACCUGGGAACUGCAUUCGAAACUGGCAGGCUAGAGUCUUGUAGAGGGGGGUAGAAUUCCAGGUGUAGCGGUGAAAUGCGUAGAGAUCUGGAGGAAUACCGGUGGCGAAGGCGGCCCCCUGGACAAAGACUGACGCUCAGGUGCGAAAGCGUGGGGAGCAAAC